UCUGGUGUUUGGUGAUUCAUAAUAAUGAUACCCAAUCGCCUACAAGCGAUGCGUCGUUAGAAUUUCUGCCCUAUCAGCUUUGGAUGGUAGUGUAGUGGACUACCAUGGCUUUCACGGGUAACGGGGAAUUAGGGUUCGAUUCCGGAGAGGGAGCCUGAGGAACGGCUACCACUUCUAUGGAAGGCAGCAGGUGUGUAAAUUACCCAAUCCCAAAAUGGGGAGGUAGUGACAAGAAAUAACAAUACCAGAAUACAUUUUUGGUAAUUGGAAUGAGUGUAAUUUAAAAUCCUUAACAAGGAACAAUUGGAGGGCAAGUCUGGUGCCAGCAGCCGCGGUAAUACCAGCUCCAAUAGCGUAUAUUAACAUUGCUGCAGUUAAAAAGCUCGUAGUCAAACUUUUGGGCGUGCAGACUCGAAUGUUCCGUAAUCGGAAUUAAUUUCGGUCGUCUGCUGCUCAUAUUUCCAGAAAGGUAUGUCUGUCCUUGAUUGGAUGGUAUUACCGACUCUGGUCUUUUACUGUGAACAAAUGAAAGUGUUCAAAGCAGGCACAUAUAUGCCUGAAUCUUUUAGCAUGGAAUUAUAAGAUAAAACUUUGGUUUUAUUUUGUUGGUCAUAGAACUAAAGUAAUGAUUGAAAGGGAUGGUUGGGGGUGCUCGUAUUCAGGGGCUAGCGGUGAAAUGCGAUGAUUCCCUGAAGACGAACUAAUGCGAAAGCAUUCACCAAGGACAUCUUCUUUGAUCAAGAACGAAAGUUGGGGGAUCGAAGACGAUCAGAUACCGUCGUAGUCUCAACCAUAAACGAUGCCGACUAGCGAUUGGUGAUCGUUGGCUAUAUGACUUCAUCAGCAGCUUCAGAGAAAUCAAAGUCUUUGGGCUCUGGGGGGAGUAUGGUCGCAAGGCUGAAACUUAAAGGCAUUGACGGAAGGGCACCACCAGGAGUGGAGCCUGCGGCUUAAUUUGACCCAACACAGGAAAACUUACCAGGUCCGGACAUAUUAAGGAUUGACAGAUUGAAGCUCUUUCUUGAUUCUAUGGGUAGUGGUGCAUGGCCGUUCUUAGUUGGUGGAGUAAUUUGUCUGGUUAAUUCCGAUAACGAGCGAGACCUCAGCCUACUAAUUGGUAUAUGCAAUCUUUUGAUUGUAUCUCUUAUACAUCUUAGAGGGACUAUCGGUGAGUAGCCGAUGGAAGUUUGAGGCAAUAACAGGUCUGUGAUGCCCUUAGAUGUUCUGGGCCGCACGCGUGCUACAAUGUUGCAAGCAGUGAGUAACAAUUAUAUUUUCUGCAUCGAGAGAUGUGGGUAAUCUGUUAAACUGCAACAAGCUUGGGCUUGAUCAUUGCAAUUUUUGGUCACCAACGAGGAAUUCCUAGUAAGCGCAAGUCACCAACUUGCAUCGAUUACGUCCCUGCCCUUUGUACACACCGCCCGUCGCUUCUACCGAUGAAUGAUCCGGUGAACAGUUUGGACUUGUGGUCUUGACAGCUUUGCUUAAAGACUAACAGGGAAGAUCCGUGAAUUGUAUCAUUUAGAGGAAGAAGAAGUCGUAACAAGGUU
rnacentral:rRNA from 1 species